GACGAACGCUGGCGGCGUGCUUAACACAUGCAAGUGGAGCGACGAACCAGGCUUCGGCCUGGGGCAAAGCCGCGAACGGGUGAGUAUCACGUGGGUAACGUGCCCCGAUGACCGGGACAACCCGAGGAAACUCGGGCUAAUACCGGAUGUGCUGUGCGGCCGUAAGGCCACACAACAAAGGAAGCUUCGGCCUCCGCAUUGGGAGCGGCCCGCGGCCCAUUAGCUUGUUGGUGAGGUAACGGCUCACCAAGGCUGCGAUGGGUAGCUGGUCUGAGAGGACGAUCAGCCACACUGGGACUGAGACACGGCCCAGACUCCUACGGGAGGCAGCAGUGGGGAAUCUUGCGCAAUGCGCGAAAGCGUGACGCAGCAACGCCGCGUGGGGGAAGAAGGCCUUCGGGUUGUAAACCCCUUUCAGGAGGGACGAAGGUUCAGGCGCGAAUAGCGUCCUGGACUGACGGUACCUCCAGAAGAAGCCCCGGCUAACUACGUGCCAGCCGCCGCCGUAACAC
rnacentral:rRNA from 1 species